GGUUCACGAUUUUGUCACUCGGUGCCGGAAAUCAGGGAAACAGCCGUCCCCAGCCGAACCCUAGUUUAUAUUUUAUAGGCUCGAACUGCAAAUUCUCGCCCAUGGCGCGGUGGAAAGCUCUGAGGCUCUGGGAUCAGUGCUGCCCCUCGGGGGAUAAGUGACCUUGGGAAGGUCACUUCCCUUUGCCCAGCCGGCCGGCUAGAAAGAACUGGUGGGGGUGCGGGGCGUGAUCGCGCUGUUUGCAGCAGUCUCAGGUGUGUGAGGGGGGUCGUCCGUCACCUUAGAACUGUCCCCUAUCCCCGGGCGUCAUGGAAUGCCCGUGAAGCUCGCUGAAGACCCCUACAAUUCCGAUCCUGACAGUAGCCGGAAUUGGGUGGCUCUUGCAGCCUCGCUGGGCUGAGGCGCUUAAUUCACUCAGUUAACGGAUGACUGAAUGGAUCCCAGGCAAAUUACCUUCGGAUUUCACCUUCCUAAAUCCGGAUCCCCGCAAUUCCUCUUGCAGGCGGAAGGAAGAAUAUUGCGAUGAUUAAUAACCGCGCAGCAGGGUUGCUGAGACCGAGUACGAAGGCAGCUCAGAUUGAGAAGACCCGGCCUCAGAGAUCCCCAGCGGCUGGUUAGAGGAGUCUGGGAUCCUUCCCCUCUGAUUGUACUCGGAGCUAGAGCGGUAGAAGCGGCAGCUCUGCCCCCUGGUGGACAUGGGAGGCACAGCGCCCUUCUCCAACUCAGAAGCCCCACCGUGGUGCUGCAGGAGAGGAAGGAAGCCCUCUUUGUUCCCUCUGAUAGAGCAAAAUUUGGCACAGGAAAAAUAAUCCCUUUCUGGCUUAAUUCUGAGGAUCUGGUCAGUUUGGAUGCAGAAAAGAUUUGUAUUGUUUCUCUUGCCUGGACUCUGCCGUUCCUUCAUGCUAUCCAAACCCUACCCCUUUUCCAACCCGUUUCAAGUUCCACCUCCUUCAUAACAACUUUUCUGACUCUCCUCGCCUAUAUGUCUUCUAAAUACAUUGGUGCACAGACCCAGCAUGCAGAGUGCACACUUACA